CGACGACGAUGCGUAGGGGUUCUGAGAGGAAGGUCCCCCACACUGGUACUGAGACACGGACCAGACUCCUACGGGAGGCAGCAG
rnacentral:rRNA from 1 species